UACGUAGGCAGCGAGCGUUGUUCGGAGUUACUGGGCGUAAAGAGUGCGUAGGCGGUUUUCUAAGUUUGGUGUGAAAUCUCCCGGCUCAACUGGGAGGGUGCGCCGAAGACUGGAAGGCUUGAGUAUGGGAGAGGUAAGCGGAAUUCCUGGUGUAGCGGUGAAAUGCGUAGAUAUCAGGAGGAACACCGGUGGCGAAGGCGGCCAACUGGACGAAUACUGACGCUGAGACACGAAAGCGUGGGGAGCAAACAGG
rnacentral:rRNA from 1 species